rnacentral:rRNA from 1 species
UCCCGUUGAUCCUGCGGGAGGUUGCUGCUAUUGGGAUUCGACUAAGCCAUGCAAGUCUUCUAGCAAUAGAGGCAAACUGCUCAGUAACACGUCGAUAAUCUAACCUUAGAUUUGGGAUAACCUCGGGAAACUGAGGGUAAUACCGGAUAGGGAAAUUCUACUGGAAUGUGUAUUUUCUAAAACGCAAGGUCUAAGGAUGAGUCGGCGGCGGAUUAGGUAGUUGGCGAGAUAAAGGCUCACCAAGCCGAAGAUCCGUAGGGGCCUUGAGAGAGGUAACCCCGAGAAGGGCACUGAGACACUGGCCCUAGCCCCACGGGGUGCAGCAGGCGCGAAACCUUUACAAUGCACGCAAGUGUGAUAAGGGAAUCCCAAGUGCUUUGCUUAUAUCAAGGCUUUUGUUAUAUGUAAAUAGUAUAGCGAAUAAGUGGUGGGUAAGACUUGUGCCAGCCGCCGCGGUAACACCAUCGCCACAAGUGGCAACCAUCAUUAUUGGGCCUAAAGCGUCCGUAGCCGGUUUAGUAAAUUUUCUGUGAAAUUGUUAGGCUUAACCUAAUGGCGUGCAGAAAACACUGCUAAACUUGGGAUUAGGAGGAGUCAGAGGUAUUUCUGGGGGAGCGGUAAAAUGCUAUAAUCCCAGAAGGACCACCUGUGGCGAAGGCGUUUGACUAGAAUGAAUCCGACGGUGAGGGACGAAAGCCAGGGGAGCAAUCCGGAUUAGAUACCCGAGUAGUCCUGGCUGUAAACUCUGCGAGCUAGGUGUUACAUAUUCUUCGGGAAUAUGUAGUGUCGUAGUGAAGACGUUAAGCUCGCCGCCUGGGAAGUAUGGUCGCAAGACUGAAACUUAAAGGAAUUGGCGGGGGAGCACUACAAGGGGUGCGGCGUGCGGUUUAAUCUAAUUCAACGCAGAGAACCUCACCAGAAGCGACGGCAGGAUGAAGGUCAGUUUAAAGGGCUUACCUAACGAGCCGAGAGGUAGUGCAUGGCCGCCGUCAGCUCGUGCUGUAAAGUGUCCUGUUAAGUCAGGCAACGAGCGAGACCUGUACCUACAAUUGCUAACAAGUCUUUUAGAUGAUUGAGCACAUUGUAGGAACUGCCCUCGAAAGGGGGAGGAAGGUGCAGGCUACGGUAGGUCUGUAUGCUCCGAAUCUUCUGGGCUACACGCGCGCAACAAUGGUAAGAACAAUGGGAUACAACUCCGAAAGGAGAAGUUAACCCUCUAAAUCUUACCCUAGUUCAGAUCGAGGAUUGCAACUCAUCCUCGUGACGUUGGAAUCCCUAGUAAUCGGAUUUUAUCAUAGUCCGGUGAAUAUGUCCCUGCUCCUUGCACACACCGCCCGUAAAACCACCCGAGCAGGUUUUAGAUGAGGCUUAAUUUUUAAUUAAGUCGAAUCUAAGCUCAGCGAGGAGGGUUAAGUCGUCACAAGGUA